rnacentral:lncRNA from 1 species
CUCAUAUUUGAUUUAUAAUAAUGUAAAACAUUUAUCCUAACUACCAAAAGUCUAGAAUAAACAGUUUACAGAGCAUCGGGUAGAUAAUAUGAAGGUUCGUUUCGUGUGUAUUUUAGUCUAGACGCCAUCUAAUUAACUAUCGAUUUGACCUCAGAUGACCAUAUAAGCGAUGUAAACAUAAAUAAAGAUAUGAAUAGAUUAAACCAACACGUGCAAUAGGAUUUUUUUUUAGGUCUGUUUGAGUUUAUUUUAUAGAUUAAAAAUAUAUGUGUCUCAUUGUUUUUAACCGUAUAAGAGUGAUUUUAUAUGGAUCGAAUCAGUAAUCAAAUGAUUUACCGUAGUUUCACUUUCAUUGUUGACAUUCGUUUUCUUUAAAUAACCAGUACACGUACAAUGGAUGCGUUGUCAAUCUCUAGCAAGGGGUUAAAUUGAAGUUCACAUGAAUACGGAUUUAAUGAGGUCGACUAAUUCACUUGCAAGUGAAUGAGUAAUUAUCAAUGUUUCUUCGCUUAAUUUGACAAAAUUGUACCAUUUUGGAUGCUAAAAGCGAAUUAUUAUUUCACUAUUUCACUUUCAUU